rnacentral:rRNA from 1 species
CACACGACUCUCGGCAACGGAUAUCUCGGCUCUCGCAUCGAUGAAGAACGUAGCGAAAUGCGAUACCUGGUGUGAAUUGCAGAAUCCCGCGAACCNUCGAGUCUUUGAACGCAAGUUGCGCCCGAGGCCAUUCGGCCGAGGGCACGCCUGCCUGGGCGUCACG